CACACAGCAGCUCCCCCCACACACGGCCCUCCCCCCACACACACACCCGGCGGCUCCCCCACACAGAGCUGGGAGGCUCCAGUACUCUCGGAGCUUGGCUGGGGCUCCUGGGGAGGGCCGUGGCUCCUCCUCACCCGCUGGGGAGCCAGGAGUUCCAGGCCUCCUGCCCUGGUCACCUACGCGUCACCUAAGCCCCGAGGCCAGGCGGCUUCUUGUCUACUAAAGACUUCCGGAGAGAGGCAUUCACCCUGUGGUCAGAGCUGGGGUUUCCAUGGAGGAGCACCACAGCCAUAAAGAAAGUUAUGGAGGCUGUGAAGUGCAAGGUCAAGAGGCUGCAUCUGGUGAAGACCUUCUUGCUGGUAGGGUCUCUCUACCUGGUCCUGAGGCAGUCCAGGGCAUCACAUGGCUGGUGAGCCCCAGAGCGGAGGACCCUGCCGAGCUGUUUCCAGACUCCUGAUCCACAGAAACCGUGAGAGGAUAACAUUGUUCUGCUUGAAGCCACUACACCUGCCGUCACUUGUCUCGCAUCAUUAGGGAACCAACGUGCUCUGGAAGACAGCAACUCUCAGGGUCCAUUCCGCUGACACCAGCGCCUCAGAUGACACAGGACGUGGCAUGGUGGCUAUUGACUCAUCAAGGGAACAGCAAUGGUAACAACAAAACCUGGUUGUUCAGAAGUCACACACUCAAGGCCCUACGGGGCCAAGAGGGGUCCAGGAGCAGCCCAGUGAGCGGGGCAGGGGAGGGGUGCAGUCCACCCAGGACCCGUGCUGCCCACAGGCUGCUGCUGUGCUCGGAGAGGGCCUGCCACAUGUGUCCGCAGAGAGAAUCCGGGAAUGCAAAUUUCUAAGCGAAUUUCUCCAUACUUCAAUGUUUGACAAUCAGUAAUUUUUCUUUGUAAUUGAUUUUUUAAAUGUGAAACUCUUUUCAGGCAAACAAAACACACUUGCAGGCUGCCAUUACACAAUUUUGUUUUAAUCAUUUUAAGGUCUUCAUUGUCUUUUACACAAAAGCUGGGAAUAUUCUCCCUCUUUCCAGAAUUCAACUGGUUUAGUGACUAGGAAGAUAUUUUGUAAUACAUUUUUUUAAAAAAGAAAACCAUGAAGGAAUAUUUCAAAUAAGAAGCUGACUAGCUUAAAUUAAUAGCUGUUAAGUAUUAAAUAUGAUGUGCUUUCUCUUAAACUAGGCCACUCUGCACCUUGCAUUCCUAUCCUUUUUUGGGCUUCAGAUCAGAAAUCGCAACUUUUGCGUGGAGAUCCUGGGCCUCCACACUGCUGGCCUCCCAUCGUCCCAAGAAUGACUCCCUGGAAAGAGCCUGUUCAGACCCUUUGUGACUGGACUCUACUGUAAGAGGAGAAUCAAAUGCUUGCAAGAAAACUGUAAAGCAGAGUUUCCUAAAAUACAUUUCAUAAGCGUGAGUGCCAGGAGUGCCUUAAAAAUGUGACUCUAUUGUCAAAUAAGUUGGGCAAUUUACUGAAGUAUACAUGAAUAUGUUAAAACCUCCAAGGAGUCCUGAAUUUAAAACAAACCUACACACAAAAACAAAGGUAUUUUUUAACCUAUCUGUUUGUUUGUUUGUUUUUGUUUGUUCAUUUGUUUUGAGACAGACUCUGGCUCUGUCACUCAGGCUGGAGUGCAGUGGCGCAAACUCGGCUUAUUGCAACCUCCGCCUCCCAGGCUCAAGCAAUCCUCUCACCUCACCCUCCUGAGUAGCCCGCCACCAUGCCCAGCUAAUUUUUUGUAGUUUUGGUAGAGACAGCGUUUCACCAUAUUGCCCAGGCUGAUCUUGAACUCCUGACCUCAAGUCAUCCUCCUGCCUCAACCUCCCAAAAUGCUAGGAUUACAGUACUAAUAGGAAAUACUUCGAAAAAUGUGACCCAGGACCCCGCAGUGAGCUUCUCACACACCUGACUUCACCUCCAGUGGAAGGAAAUCUGCGGCCUGCUGAAAUAAGAGAUGAAGGAACUAAAAGAAAAUCCCCAACAUUUUUACUUUCAAAAACCCUAAUAAAUGGUACAAAUAGAAACAAAUAGCAUGAGAGACUUAAAUCUGCUAUAUUGAUGGUUACAUUUAAUUAGUGGUCUAGAGACUCCUAUUAGAAGGCAAAACUUGUCAGAAUGGAUAAAGCACUAGGGCCCAACUCUACAGUAUGCGCAAGAGAUGAACUUCAUACACACAGGUAGAAAUAGGUUAGAAGAGAAAAGAGGGAAAAAGACGCUCCAUGCAAACAGUAAUCAUAGGAAAGCUGGGUGGUACCAAGUAUUCUAAGAACAGAUGUGCCUGAUGAUAGAGCUUCAAAUAUGUGAAAAAAAAACUGACACCUGAAAGACGAAGUAAGUCCACAAUUACAGUUAUACCUUUCCGCGUUCCCCUGUCAGUAACUGCUCGACAGAAAGUCAGUAAGAGCACAGAAGGCUUGAAAAACACUAAAACCCGGCUCGAUCCACUUAACAUUGCUUAAGCAUUCCAUCCCACACGUGCAGACUAUAAUUAUGUUCUGAUAGAACGCUGAUCAAAAUAGACCACAUUCUAAGCCAUGAAACAAGACUCAAUAAAGUUAAAAGAACUGAAA